rfam:Ophiophagus hannah scaffold862.1, whole genome shotgun sequence.
AUCUUUGGUUAUCUAGCUGUAUGAGUGGGCUCAAGUCUUCAUAAAGCUAGAUAACCGAAAGU